AUGGUAUCUUUUGGGAAGAGAAGAAUCCAUCCAUGGGGUCUUCAUAAAGAAUGGGGGGAUGGAGGUUGGGAUUCCUCACCCUCCUCCAAGAAUUAAACUGUUUGCCUGUGCUUAGCCAAUGGCUCAGCUAAACAGUAAACACUGUGCGCAUGGAGGAGGAUCCUAUACAGUAGCUACCUAGCAGAGGCUUUUGGCUAAUGCACAGGCAAACCGGCAAGUCACAGAACGGCAAUGGACUCGAACAUAAGUCCU
rnacentral:sRNA from 1 species